rnacentral:rRNA from 1 species
GACGAACGCUGGCGGCGUGCUUAACACAUGCAAGUCGAACGAUGAACCAGGGCUUGCCCUGGGGAUUAGUGGCGAACGGGUGAGUAACACGUGGGCAACCUGCCCCAGACACCGGGAUAACCUCUCGAAAGAGUGGCUAAUACCGGAUAUGACCACUUCGGGCAUCCGACGGUGGUGGAAAGGAUUCUGGUCUGGGAUGGGCCCGCGGCCUAUCAGCUAGUUGGUGGGGUAAUGGCCUACCAAGGCGACGAAGGGUAGCCGGCCUGAGAGGGCGACCGGCCACACUGGGACUGAGACACGGCCCAGACUCCUACGGGAGGCAGCAGUAGGGAAUAUUGCGCAAUGGGCGAAAGCCUGACGCAGCGACGCCGCGUGAGGGACGAAGGUCUUCGGAUUGUAAACCUCUUUCAGCAGGGACGAAGCGAAAGUGACUGUACCUGCAGAAGAAGCACCGGCUAACUACGUGCCAGCAGCCGCGGUAAU